rnacentral:lncRNA from 1 species
GCUGUACAUUGAUAUAACAGCAAAAGCCUGCAGAGAUGACAUGCUAAUGGUUUGGAGCAGACAAGAACAUUGCUCUCAUCACCCCAAGGACAUGGUAUAGCGGGAAGUAUUGGUGGGAGGUGGAUGGUUGGACAAGAUGAUCUUGGAGGUCUUUUCCAACCUUGGCAAUUCUAUGAUUUCAAGAGCAGCAAGGGGCAGGACAGGAUGGUACCAUUUUGAAACUGAUGAAGACGAACAUUUGAUUUUUCUGUAGAGAGCAACAAACAACGAACAAAACCUGCUGACAUGUGGUUAAUGGCAUCUCAAUGAAAAGGAAGACAGAGCACAUUAGGAGAAGGUCUGAAAUUAUGCUGCCUGUACAGAAACUCAUAUUUCAGCCCACGUGGGAAACGUUUGGACAAAUGGACUUUCCGAAAGAAAAGAAAACAUUUUAAGAGCCACAAGUAUUUCGCCUCAGGUAAUUUCCCCUUAAUCUUCCCAGUGACACCUCACCCAGAC